rnacentral:rRNA from 1 species
CGCUGAAGCUGGGUGCUUGCACCUGGUGGAUGAGUGGCGAACGGGUGAGUAAUACGUGAGUGACCUUCCUUGGACUCUGGGAUAAGCCCGGGAAACUGGGUCUAAUACCGGAUACGACCAGUCCUCGCAUGGGGUGCUGGUGGAAAGGGUUUGUACUGGUUCUUGAUGGGCUCACGUCCUAUCAGCUUGUUGGUGAGGUAAUGGCUUACCAAGGCGACGACGGGUAGCCGGCCUGAGAGGGUGACCGGCCACACUGGGACUGAGACACGGCCCAGACUCCUACGGGAGGCAGCAGUGGGGAAUAUUGCACAAUGGGCGCAAGCCUGAUGCAGCGACGCCGCGUGGGGGAUGACGGCCUUCGGGUUGUAAACCUCUUUCAGCAGGGAAGAAGCGAAAGUGACGGUACCUGCAGAAGAAGCGCCGGCUAACUACGUGCCAGCAGCCGCGGUAAUACGUAGGGCGCAAGCGUUGUCCGGAAUUAUUGGGCGUAAAGAGCUCGUAGGCGGUUUGUCGCGUCUGCUGUGAAAGCCCGGGGCUCAACCCCGGGUGUGCAGUGGGUACGGGCAGGCUGGAGUGCAGUAGGGGAGACUGGAAUUCCUGGUGUAGCGGUGAAAUGCGCAGAUAUCAGGAGGAACACCGAUGGCGAAGGCAGGUCUCUGGGCUGUUACUGACGCUGAGGAGCGAAAGCAUGGGGAGCGAACAGGAUUAGAUACCCUGGUAGUCCAUGCCGU